CUCUAUGAUGAUAGAAACACAUUUUGUUUUUUUAAAAUUUCUGGUACCUCUUAUGUUAGGGUCUUCGGACUCGCUGAAUGAACUGGACUUCUGAUC
rnacentral:snoRNA from 1 species